GUGGCUUAAUUUGACUCAACGCGGGAAAUCUUACCGGGUCCGGACACACUGAGGAUUGACAGGUAUUAUAUAGCGCGCUUGCGCGUCUAUUGUUAAAUAUGCUAGUCCUUUCAUGAUUAUGUGAUAGGUGGUGCAUGGCCGUUCUUAGUUCGUGGAGUGAUCUGUCUGCUUAAUUGCGUUUCAGAUAAGGAUCUAUAUUCUUUACAGAAGUGUUGCGUAGGCAUUUGACCCCCUUCGCGAGUGCGUGUCUUUUCGCGCUCGCACGCUUUUUACAUUAGGUCCUGAAAGCAACGAACGUGACCGCAACCUCUUGUUGCCUCAUCUCCCUACUUUUUUAGCACU
rnacentral:rRNA from 1 species